rnacentral:rRNA from 1 species
UACGAAGGGGGCUAGCGUCGCUCGGAAUCACUGGGCGUAAAGCGCACGUAGGCGGCUUUUUAAGUCAGGGGUGAAAUCCUGGAGCUCAACUCCAGAACUGCCUUUGAUACUGAGAAGCUUGAGUCCGGGAGAGGUGAGUGGAACUGCGAGUGUAGAGGUGAAAUUCGUAGAUAUUCGCAAGAACACCAGUGGCGAAGGCGGCCCACUGGCCCGGUACUGACGCUGAGGUGCGAAAGCGUGGGGAGCAAACAGG